UUUACUCGUGGCAGGCAUGCCUAACACAUGCAAGUCGAGCGGCAGCAGGUCCUUCGGGAUGCUGGCGAGCGGCGGACGGGUGAGUAACACGUGGGAAUCUGCCCAUCGGUGGGGGAUAGCCCGAGGAAACUCGGAUUAAUACCGCAUACGCCCUACGGGGCAAAGUAGACCUCUGAUUUAAGAACACGCCGAUGGAUGAGCCCUUUGGNCGAUUAGCUAGUUGGCGGGGUAAAGGCCUACCAAGGCAACGAUCGGUAGCUGGUCUGAGAGGACGAUCAGUCACACCGGAACUGAGACACGGUCCGGACUCCUACGGGAGGCAGCAGUGGGGAAUAUUGGACAAUGGGCGAAAGCCUGAUCCACCAAUGCCGCGUGGGUGAAGAAGGCUUGAGGGUUGUAAAGCCCUUUCAACACGGAGGAAAAGCGUUCGGUUAAUACCCGUGCGUCCUUGACGUUACCUGCAGAAGAAGCACCGGCUAACUCCGUGCCAGCAAGCCGCGGG
rnacentral:rRNA from 1 species